rnacentral:tRNA from 1 species
GACAAGACUAUCGUCGCAGGAAAUCGUAAUAGAUUGUUAUUUUAUUCACUGUCAGGCUAAUACUGUGCAUCAUGAU